rnacentral:rRNA from 1 species
AACGAACGCUGGCGGCAGGCUUAACACAUGCAAGUCGAACGGGUGUAGCAAUACAUCAGUGGCAGACGGGUGAGUAACACGUGGGAACCUUCCUAGGGGUACGGAACAACUCAGGGAAACUUGAGCUAAUACCGUAUACGUCCGUGAGGAGAAAGAUUUAUCGCCCUUAGACGGGCCCGCGUCGGAUUAGGUAGUUGGUGGGGUAACGGCCUACCAAGCCUACGAUCCGUAGCUGAUCUGAGAGGAUGAUCAGCCACACUGGGACUGAGACACAGCCCAGACUCUUACGGGAGGCAGCAGUGGGGAAUCUUGGACAAUGGGCGAAAGCCUGAUCCAGCCAUGCCGCGUGAGUGAAGAAGGCCUUAGGGUUGUAAAGCUCUUUUGCCAGGGACGAUAAUGACGGUACCUGGAGAAUAAGCCCCGGCAAACUUCGUGCCAGCCGCCGCCGUAAUAC